UAGAGUUUGAUCCUGGCUCAGGANGAACNCUNGNGGCAANCANUCNACUUNCAACUAGCACGCUGAAGGAGGAGCUUGCUUCUCCGGAUGAGUUGCGAACGGGUGAGUAACGCGUAGNUAACCUGCCUGGUAGCGGGGGAUAACUAUUGGAAACGAUAGCUAAUACCGCAUAACAGUAGAUAUUGCAUGAUAUCUGCUUGAAAGGUGCAAUUGCAUCACUACCAGAUGGACCUGCGUUGUAUUAGCUAGUUGGUGAGGUAACGGCUCACCAAGGCGACGAUACAUAGCCGACCUGAGAGGGUGAUCGGCCACACUGGGACUGAGACACGNCCCAGACUCCUACGGGAGGCAGCAGUAGGGAAUCUUCGGCAAUGGACGGAAGUUUGACCGAGCAACGCCGCGUGAGUAAAGAAGGUUUUCGGAUCGUAAAGCUCUGUUGUAAGANAAGAACGAGUUUAAAAUUGAAAGUUCANCUGUGACGGUNUCUUACCAGAAAGGGCNGCUANUACGUGCCAGCCGCCGNGGUAAUACGUAGGUCCNGAGCGUNUCCGGAUUUAUUGGNCCCNAANGAGCCAGGGGUUUGANAAGUNUGAGUUAANGCCUGGGGGUUAACAUAUUACCUUUGGAANUGNUUA
rnacentral:rRNA from 1 species